UAUUAUGUUAAGGUUAAUUCUGCCUUUUUAAUUGGUUAUUAAAAGAUAAUUUUAUAUGCUAAUUUUUGUGUGUUUUUAUUUUGUUUUAAAAAUGGAAUAAGUGAUUAUUUGCAGUUUUUAUUAUUAUAUUUAUUUAGAAAUAAAGAUAUAGUUAAUUUUUAUAGGAUUGUUUAAAGUUGUGCCGGCAGACGCGGUUAUACAAUUAAUUCAAAUUAAUUUUUUCGGUUUAAUUAUUAUUUUAUAAGAUUUUGAGGAUUAACAAUUAUUUAUUAGGUGAAAUUUUAAAUUUUUUUAUAUACCUUUGGUUUAAAUAUUAUAAGAAAUUUAGUUAUUAAACUAGGAUUAGAUACCCUAUUAUUCUAAAUGUAAAUUUUAGCCAUAGUAUUAAUAGAUAUGAUCUUUAAAUUAUAAGAAUAUGGCGGUAAUUUAGUCUUUUCAGAGGAACCUGUUCUGUAAUUGAUGAUCCACGUUGGAUUUUACUUUAUUUUUGGUUUAUAUAUCUCUGUCAUUGAAUGUUUUAUUAGAAUAUUUUCUUUUAUUAUUAAUUUAAUUAAUGUCAGGUCAAGGUGUAGCUAUAGUAAAGGUUGAGAUGGGUUACAUUUAAUGUUAAUUUAUUGGAUUAUAUCUUGUAAUUAGAUAUUUUAAAAAGGAUUUGAAGGUAAUAUUUGUUAUUUUGCAAAUAUGAUUAUAGCUCUAAAUUAUGCACACAUCGCCCGUCGCUCCUAUUUUAAGAUAGGAUAAGUCGUAACAAAGUAAUUUUACUGGAAAGUGAAGUUGGAAUUAAU
rnacentral:ncRNA from 1 species